rnacentral:lncRNA from 1 species
CUCGACCCCUGUAGUUUAUAGCUAAGUCAACACACGGCCAUCAAAGACUUUAAAAAAAUCAUUUGUAUUUCAUUUUGACUUUUAUACAAUGCAAUAGUUUAGGAUAGUAAGCCAAACCAUGUGAUUAACUAUGUUUCAAAGCCAAUUAUGAAAGUGGGUUAGGUUACAUAAUUUCCAAACCAAUUCAAUACCAAAAAUCAUUAAUUUGGGAGAAUGCCAUGUCCCCAU